CAAACGGGUCAGCCUGCAAUGGGU
rnacentral:siRNA from 1 species